rnacentral:lncRNA from 10 species
GUAUACUCUCACAAAUAGAAUUUGAGUCAUAUUUCUCUCUCUCUGGCUAAUUUCUCCAAAUUUGUAAACUAUGAAUAUUCUUAAUUCAUGGCAAUGUGUUUCCUUGCAUACAGUCAAGCAUGGUCACCAGGGCCACUCAGGGAGAGACAAUCCAGAAACCUGGCAUGCAGCCAAAAGGAUAAUCAUCAAGCUUCAGAUGAUCAUGCAACCACGGUUCCAGCCAGUUCCAGGUGAAGACACCACCCCUGGCCAUCAAGAAGCUACCCUGCCUCCACGAGAUAGAGCAUGGCGAGAGUUCCGUGAUUUCCAAUAGGUAGGGACUAUGCCCCAGGUCGGCAUGAAGCAGUUACAGAAGAAAGCUCUUCAGUCCCUCUGCCUCACAUAAAGAUUUAUGGGGAUCAAGUCUCUCAGCGGGGAGAUGAGGCAGGAGAAUAGGGCCUGGAGGCAGGGGACCUAAGGCUGUUUUACGCUGACUUCCUAGAACUAAAUUGAAAGGAAAACCCUCACUUUCAACGCCUAAGUAACAAAAGGACCAGAGGCUACUCCCUUUGACCUUUUCUGCACUACAGAUGGAAAAUUGGCUGUGGCAACAAAUUAGGCUGACUUCUGGCCUAGUCUUCGUUUGCAUACAAGUAUAACUUUGUUAACUUCACCCUAGCCUCUGAUUGGUUGCUUUUUGCAACCAAUCAGAUAUUUGCACAGGAGUGUGACCUUUGUAACUUCAGUUUAGCCUCUGGUUGUCUCCUUUCUGCAACCAAUCAGAUUUAUUUCGGGCGACCACUCCACUUACAUGAGGUGGCCAAUGGGAAACUUCUAGGGGGUAUUUGAACCAAAGAAGAUUCUGUAUCCAGGCCCUUGAGCCUCUGCUGAGGCCAUCUCCCACAGUGUGGAGUGUACUUUCGUUUUCAGUAAACCCUUGCUUUCAUUCUUUUGUUACUUCAUUCUUGCUUUGCUUUGCUGGGCAUUUUAUGCAAUUAUUUGUUCAAAACGCCAAGAACCUGGACAACUUGCAAUCCUGACCCUCUACGGGUCACAAACCCAAGUUGCACCCAACUGGACAAAUCUCCAGUAAUCCAUGUUCAGUGGCGCCUUUAUCUCUGGAAGGCGUUUUUUCAAACAGAAAGGGCGGGAGAAAAGGGCUCCAAGACAGGGCUUGAUUGAAAAUGUGGAACCCUACUGCCACCGUGAGGAAAUCGUUUAAAGACGGAAUACGCCAUCAUGGCGUCCUUCUCGGAAAGCCUCCCUGUGGGGGAAAGGCUGAUCUGUAGGCCCCCAGGCUAUGUCUUCCUGCCUUUUCCUCUAAGGCCUGAAAAGAGACAGGGACAUUGGCGGUAUCUUGGUGUAGAAUCUGGAGAGUGCGGGGUUUGGAGUGAACCAGCAGCUGCCAGGAGGUACUGGCACAGGAAGUCGUGGAGCGGAAACUUGGUUCCUCCGGUGUGGGGAGGACAGUAGGGAACCAGUCAAACACACAUAGAGGCUCUUGUGGGCAUCUGUCUCUUCUACCUGCCCUUUGGAGCAAGAGUCAGCAGGCUUUCACUUGCUAGCAUCUUGCUAUGGGUCUUGGGGUUUCUGGUAGCAUCAAUAUCGCUCACAAGGAACACAGUUAUUCCAAGGGAAGUUUACAGGAUUUGCUGUUAGAACCUUCACUCUCCAGGUUCUACAGCAAGGUACCGCCAAUGUCCACGUCUCUUUUAAGGCCUUAGACGAGAAGGCAGGGACUCUGAGCAUGGAGCCCAAGCCUCUUCCACCUCCCCACAGACCAGACCUUCCCCAACAGGUAGUCCUCACAAGACGACCCAUGUAAUGGCGUAGGGAUCCGUUAAAUGACAUCCUCGCGAUGGCGGUAGUGCAUCAGAUAUGCCAGAAAGCCCUGUCUUGGAGCACCGCCCCCUUCUCCUGCCCUUCCUGUCUGAAAAAACGCGACUCAUAGACAAAGGCGCAACCAAACAUGGAUGCCUUCUAUUUGCCCAGUGUGGAGCCUGCUAGUCUUACUGCUGCACUUUUUCAUUUUGUUUUCCACUUGAAAUCAAACCGAGGCCUAAAGCACCGGUCCUCAUCAGGAAUCCAGUUCUUCCAGAAAUUAAAUAUCCUCCUGACCUACUCUGUGUGGGUUUGAUUUACUUCAGAGUUACAGGUCCAGUAAUUUCCGAGGCAUCAAACUGUCUCCUUCAGGGAAUACAUUCAGUGGAUGAACUCACAAAAAAGAGAAAAGGAGCCGGGCGCGGUGGCUCACGCCUUUAAUCCCAGCACUUUGGGAGGCCGAAGCUGGCGGAUCACCCGAGGUCAGGAGUUCGAGACCAUUAUGGCCAGCAUGGCAAAACCCUGUCUCUACUAAAAAUACAAAAAUUAGCCGGGCGUGGUGGCACAGGCCUGUAAUCCCAGCUACUCCAGAGGAGGAGGCAGGAGAAUCACUUGAACCUGGGAGGGGAAGGUUGCAGUAAGCGGAGAGCGCACUAUUGCACUCCAGCCUGGGCAACAGAGUGAGAGUGUCUCAAAAAAAAAAAAAGAGAGAGAGAGAGAAAAGGGCUAAAAGCUUGAAAGCUUGGAAAAGAACUCCAGCAAAAAAUUUAAAAAUCCCAGAGGUCUUCGCCCUGGCUCCCCUGUCAGGCAUCCAGGGAAUUCUUCCUAUUCUAAGAGCCUUAUGUGGUACAUCAUAGGCAACAAUUUGGCAUGAGCCAUUAGAGGAGAAACCAGGUGACGCUCCUUACUGCAUGCCAUAUAUACUCCAAAUGCCAUGAUACUCAUAGAACAUAUGUUCAAUUCAUAUCAAGGUGGCUCAGGGUUUCAUCUCAUGGUCUCAUCAUUUAACAUCAAAACACAGCAUGUGCCCGUGCCAUUACAUAUUCUUCAAGUAUUCCCUGAGACUUUAUGGGGUGUGUGUUUGUGUUCGUGUUUGUGUGUGUCUCUGAGAGUUUUAUAAUUGGUCUUUUAAGUAUAAGGAUUACAGUAUUCUCCAACUAGUAAAUUAAAGAAUAAUGCUUGACAAAGAUUAAGAAAAAUCCAUGUAUUAACACAGAAAACCGCUACCAUACAACUUGUCAAGGUAACUCAUGAACUUAUGGAUUAUUUCCAUGCAUCUUUCAAAAUGUGCAUACAUUAACUUCAUGCAAAAAAAUAAAUCUGUGUAAAAAGUGGAUUACUGUGUACAUAGUGGUUUGGAUCAGACCAAAUGUGUAUUUUAAUGAAACUUUCAGAUGCAUGAAUUAAUUCAAAUGUCACCAGUACUAAGUCUUAUAUGUCAACAUUUCAUGCCUUCAAUAUAAAUAAAGGUAAAUCUUAACAUACAGCCUCAGGAAAAUUACUUUAGUAAAGUAGACAAUAUCAGCUCUUUGAUUUUUUACAGCUACAUCACUACACAUUUCUAAAAAAAAGUUCAUGAAGAGACAAAGACAUCAGAAAUUAUGGCUACCUAACAUUUUGCUCAAUUUGUGUAAACAAUUUCC